rnacentral:rRNA from 1 species
UUGAUCCUGCCGGACCCGACUGCUAUCAGGAUAGGACUAAGCCAUGCGAGUCAACGUAGCAAUACGUGGCAUACGGCUCAGUAACACGUAGUCAACAUGCCCAGGGGACGUGGAUAACCUCGGGAAACUGAGGAUAAACCGCGAUAGGUCAUAAUAUCUGGAAUGAUUUCUGGCUAAAAUCUAUAUGGCCCCUGGAUUGGACUGCGGCCGAUCAGGCUGUUGGUGAGGUAAUGGCCCACCAAACCUAAAACCGGUACGGGCUCUGAGAGGAGAAGCCCGGAGAUGGGCACUGAGACAAGGGCCCAGGCCCUAUGGGGCGCAGCAGGCGCGAAAACUCUGCAAUAAGCGAAAGCUUGACAGGGUUAUUCUGAGUGAUUUCCGCUAAGGAAAUCUUUUGGCACCUCUAAAAAUGGUGCAGAAUAAGGGGUGGGCAAGCCUGGUGUCAGCCGCCGCGGUAAUACCAGCACCCCGAGUGGUCGGGACGAUUAUUGGGCCUAAAGCAUCCGUAGCCGGUUCUACAAGUCUUCCGUUAAAUCCACCUGCUUAACAGAUGGGCUGCGGAGGAUACUAUGGAGCUAGGAGGCGGGAGAGGCAAGCGGUACUUAGUGGGUAGGGGUAAAAUCCGUUGAUCCAUUGAAGACCACCAGUGGCGAAGGCGGCUUGCCAGAACGCACUCGACGGUGAGGGAUGAAAGCUGGGGGAGCAAACCGGAUUAGAUACC